rnacentral:snRNA from 1 species
AUACUUCCCUGGUGUAGGGGAUACCGUGAUCAUGCAGGCGGUUCCCCCAGGGCGAGGCUGCUCCAUUGCACUGCGGAGUGGUUGACCCUUGCGAUUUUAUUUUAUCAGUAUAAAAAUCUUAAUAAAAAAUGUAUACCCGAAUAAUUAUUUUCGUUAUA